GUCCCAAUAGCACAGUGGUUAGUGCGCUUGUUCCAAGUCGCAAGUUUUUCAUCGAUAAGCAAGAGAUGAUCCCUGUUCGAUUCGGGGUUGGGACG